rnacentral:misc_RNA from 1 species
UAAUAAAGUGUUUUAUGGCACUUUUUAAAAAUCCAUAUCCACCUUGUGUGCAAUGUUAGAUCUCGUCAAUCUUGGCGAGGUUUUUAUACAUCAACUCAUUCUUUAACUAAUUUGUCUGAGUCUAUGAUUAAAUCAAAAACA